AGGAGAUGGAUGGACACAGACAUACAAAACAUGGGCAGGGCAAAGAAAGAGAGGAGGAGGAGGGAAUGCAGAUAACAAAACCAAUGGACACUCAUUAGGGGCUGGACAUGAAAAAUAGACCCGGAGAAGCCAAUGGACACAGAGAUCAGGGGGCUGGACAAGAGGCACAAGAGGAAAAAAAACUGUCUAAUGAUUGCAGUGGGCAUUGAUCAGGGGGCUGGACGUGAAAAAUAGACCAAGAGAAGCCAAUGGACAACGGAUAAGGGGGUUGGACAUACAAGCAGAAAAAAGAGUCUAAUUAAAGCUGUCGCAGUGGACAUUGAUCAGGGACCUGGGCACGGACCAGAGUGCACAAAAAUAAGUAAAUAAAAGCCGUGGGCCACAAAGCAGCAAGCACAGGGGAAAGAAGAUUUAAAAAGAAGUACUGUCAGACCAGCGCGAGCGAGCCAAAGUUUAAGCAAGUGUGUGUGAAGGGUUGCGCGACACGCGUUGGAAGCCGGACAGUACACUUUAAAUAUUUCGAGUUACCUAUAGGAUGCCUUAAAAUAGUUUUAUCGAGACUCGAUGGAUCCAGUGCUGUAAAUCGAAAGCUGUAACAACAGGUCAUAGAAAUGCACGGGGCUGAAAAGGCGGGUCGCCAGCGGAUAGGCGGGGGUAACAAGGCGUGGGUAUGCUGGGGUGCGUCUAGUAACUUUAAAGGUGGACAGUGCCGAGGCAGAGAGCGCUGACAGGUUUUAUUUGCUGUCAGUCCAUGGCUGCAUUUAGAAAUGUGUGUCAGGACACUAAUUUAAAGCUGCAGUUUGAAACGUCUAAAGAUGAGAAACCAGAAGAAGAAAAAUAGCAAUCAAUAGAAUAAAGCGUCCUUUCUUGUAAGGUGCAUGCUUAGAAGUGCACCGCGUAUUCAAUUAAAGCGGAGCGCCGAAAAUAACCGAGUCAAGUAAUAAUAGAAAAAGUAAUAAGACUAGUGGCUAUGUAAGAGAAUCACAAGAGCGAUUUGUAAUGAAAACGUGAGGCAGACGCGGAGCUGGGGUGGGAUACAAAGGGGAAGGGGGAAAAAAUCAAUGGGAUUUGAAGAGGGAGAGGAUCGGGGAGGAAGCUGAGCGGUGGAGACAAACCCUGGAGCAGCUGAGAAAAAUGUUGAUCUAACUGAACAGGUAAAGCUUGAAUAAGAAGGACUACCAAUUAGGACUGUGAACAUCUAUAAGAAGAGGAGAAUAAAGAGAUACUCUAUGAAGAAUAAAAAACCAAACCCGGGAGGUUCCACCUGUCU